CAUAGCUUCACUACUAUUGUGUUGGUCCAUUUCCAGAAUCUUAAGGAGUGUUCUUGUUUAGACGAUUACCUUGGAUGAUGCUUUUGCUUAAGGAGAGGCUCAAGAAGAUCAGGUAUAAACUCCUGCCCCUCUUGUUUGUUUUUCCUUCAUACUAUUUGGUGGUUGAUCGAUGAUUAGGUGCUAGGUUCAACUAGUUAUGAUGCUGUUAACUAACAUCUUGCACAUGCUUUAGUAGUAACUGGAUCUGGUUGUAGUCCUUUAGUUGGCUCGGAUUGCUAAUAAACCCUAGGAACUGUAAUGCCCACAAAUCUCAUUUCUGUGUUAGUAGGUUCUGGCUUUCAGAGUCAAUCUCUGCUACUCCCCUGCAUCAGAAUUGCCAAACAUACCUUUGUGAGGUCAUUUCACACGUGGUGACUAGUAGUUUUUUGUUCCCUGCUAAGAUUUUGGAGGAAUGGCUUGCCUUUCUGAUUCUGUUGGUAGAUUAAGGUUUGUAGAGUUAACCUUGUCUUCUUCCAUGAUUGAAACAAAUGGCCAAGCUCGCCUCUAUGAGGCUAUUUCACAUGCUAUGACUAGUCUAUUGUUCCUAGAUAAUUAUAACAUUCUUUGAGAAUUUUGCUUAUUGUAACAUUCUAUGACUAGUCUAUUAUUCAGGUUGUUGUGUUGCUUCGAGGUUAACCUUUGGCAACAUUCUUAGAGAAUUUUGUAAUGCCUCCUUUGGGGAGUUGAUACACUAAUGUGCAAGUUCUAUGCUAUGUGAGUUCUCUCUGUUGCUGCAAGCAUUGUCACAAUAUGUCAUGUGUAG
rnacentral:lncRNA from 1 species